GACGAACGCUGGCGGCGUGCUUAACACAUGCAAGUCGAACGGAAAGGCCCUGCUUUUGUGGGGUUUCCGAGUGGCGAACGGGUGAGUAACACGUGAGUAACCUGCCCUGGACUUUGGGAUAACUUCAGGAAACUGCUGCUAAUACCGGAUAGGAGCUCCUGCUGCAUGGUGGGGGUUGGAAAGUUUCGGCGGUUGGGGAUGGACUCGCGGCUUAUCAGCUUGUUGGUGGGGGAGUGGCUUACCAAGGCUUUGGCGGGUAGCCGGCCUGGGAGGGUGAACGGCCACAUUGGGACUGAGAUACGGCGCAGACUCCUACGGGAGGCAGCAGUGGGGAGUAUUGCACAGUGGGCGGAAGCGUGAUGCGGCAGCGCCGCGUGCGGGAUGACGGCCUUCGGGUUGUAAACCGCAUUCGCCUGUGACGAAGCGUGAGUGACGGUAAUGGGUAAAGAAGCACCGGCUAACUACGUG
rnacentral:rRNA from 1 species